rnacentral:lncRNA from 1 species
CUUAAAGCUGCGGGAACGGAGGCUGCCAGCAAUACGGUCCUUCCUAUUGUAACGGUAUUCAACACAAGUCAGAAACUAUGGUUGUAUCAGCAAAAUCACUCGAACGAAAUUAGCUUCCCAGAUGACAUGGCUGAAGUGGGCUUGAAAGAAGAGUGCAUAUUUUUAAAGAAGUAUAAUAUUACCGAGAACGACUACCACUACUGGCGAAAGUCAAAUAUUGGGAACCAGUGGGUUGCUAGCCACUACUACGGAAAAUUUUUUUCAGAUGGCGAAGGUGGACUUGGCUCCAUGAAUGUUUCUGACCUUUCAGGGAGCGACACAAGUCCAUUUGAAGUCAUGAAGCUCAUGUAUGCAGACAAAAAUUGCAGCGUGUUCUUGGUAACGCCUUUGGAAGAUGACGCUGAGCCAGGUAAGACAAUCAGUUUCAAGUGCAAAUUGUAUUCUUUGUGCUGCAUGGGGUCUGAAAGCAUCUUAUCUUGAGUUCAGAUA